CCACACGUUUUUUAGCCUAAAUUUAUGCAUACAUAUUGCACAUUUCAUCUUGUCCAUGGAGAGUUGAAUUUCUUGACAAUGACAUUAGUAGUUUGACUUCAGGUAUGUACGUUUGACUUUAAACUAUAGACUAAAAAAUGUACAUACGUGAAGAGGAUAUUAAACUAUGAGUAACGACCAAUAAUAAGCGAGCUUAAUAACCUUAAAUUUUUGGUUUUACCCUUAAAUAAUAAGUUUCAAAAGUCUAUUUUUAUUUCUUAAAUUCCAUGCUUAUUCAAAUAUCAUUACAUAAGAGUAUACUACAAGAAAAAGCUUAAUUUGUAGGGGUUUAUUUAGGGAGGUCAUAAGAAACCCCCACUAGUCGUUAGUUUUGUGGCGUUUGUACCCAUCCCCUCAAAAUAAUUGUGUUUGCGGAGGUUUAUCUAUAGGGGUUGUAAAAGAACCCCCACUAAAAGCCAGUCAAAGUUUUGAUUCUUUGUGUUUCCCGCGAUAACUAUGACCCAUUCCCUCCAUUCCUUUUCUUUUUUCAUAUUUCCCUCGUUUUAUUGCUCUUUAAAAAAUCACAAAAUAAGAUUUGAAAAUAUUUCAGAGAUGUCUCAUCAAUACGCGCUCGCUGCUGUCCAACCUAUCUCGUCUCUGCUCUCAUCGCUGCUGCCCAACCGUCGUUGCUCUGUCUCCCCAUCACAGGGCACCAUCGUAUUACAACUCAUCUACCACUACUCUCUCUCUCUCUCUCUCGCAGCCCAUAGACUUCGACAGUCAAACCCUAAUUUUGCUGGUGGGAAAUUAAAGGUGGAAUAACAUUCACUAGGUUUAUUUUUCAAGAAUUGAUUGCAUAACUCGUACAGAUUUUGUUUCCUUGCGUUGUUCAUUGAUAUGCUGCAGAUCUCACUUUAUAUUUUACCAUUGUGAAGUCAGCAAUAGUUUACCAGUACCUAGUCGUUGCUUAAAUUGUUAGGGUUGUUGCAUAGAGAAUUUUAGGGGCCAAAGCUUUGAGUAAUUUUAAACGAUCCCUAACUUCGUUGGUGAUCGCUAUAUAAAUCUCCUCACUCUUAUAUCUCAAGUCCUAGUGCUCUUUGCUUCACUAUUCUACAACUCUAAAAGAUAAAAGAACUAAAAUGAUCCAAUGUAUAGCAGAAAUUUGAAGCUACGUGUUUGGAGAUGAAAAAGGCUAUGUAUGAGGUAAACCUCACCUCUCUAAAUUAACUUUUCUUUGUAUAAUAACUGGUGACAUUAUAUGUUUGAUAAUUCUCUUGUUCCUUGGGGUUAUUAACAAGGUCUUAUGUAAGCUUCCUUCACUAAACUGAUCCUCUCAAAUAAGAGGCUUUUUCCACACCAACUGAAAGUUUGACCUUAGAGCUUUAGGAUGGUUGAAUAAAUUGAACUAUGACCAUAUUCAUCAACCAAAAAUAAAAAAUAAAAGAAUAAAAGUCAUGAUCAUAAAUUGCAGAUGUUGCUAUGACUGUUGCAUGGUACUUCAUUUCCUAUAAGAUACGCAAUGGAUGACCAAUAACUUCGGGUGCCCAAUAAAUAUGUCUUGCAUCUUUUUGCUACAAAACAGGUCCAUUGGGUUUAAUAGGAGGAAAAGUUAAGGAAAAACUAUAUAUACUUGCCCCUCGUCCUUACUCAUCUCAUGUUAUUUGAAAUUUGUAGUAGUUUGGACAUACUUAAUACUUCAACUUCUCUCAGUGAUUAAUAAAAUGCAAGAAGUCACAGAAACUAUAUUCUAAUUUUUGCAGUUGGGUGGGAGCUUUAUACUUUAUAUUCUGCCUGUCAAGGAUUUAUAUUCUAUAUUUAGCUUUGGUAGUCUGAAAUGGUUAGUGAGGAUUCAUAUAGCUAACCCACUAGCUUGGAAAUUGAGGCGUAAUAGUAAUAGUAGUACAACUGUUGUUGCCCUUAGUUUUAUUAGGAGACUACUCUCUUCUUAUAUAAAAAAUAUAUUUACUUCAUUUUUUCAGUUGCAUGAGAUUUAUGUUUCUCCCUGUUUGAGCUCCUAAGCAUUUAUGUCAUUUCAGUAUAAUAAAUAUAUGGCUGUUGGAUUUCCAUGUUAGUGAAGGGAAUAAAUAAUGAGGUAGUCAAUAUGUUUCCUGAAAGCUCAAGGGUAAUGUUAGUUCUACGGUUGCUUUCCUCCGGAAGAUUUUGACUUCUGAGAAAGCUUACUAGUUAAAUUAUUUGCAACAGUAGAUUUAGCUAUGGAAAGAAAAAGUUUAUUUAGAUUGGUCAAUGUACCCAUUUGUCUUGUCAAGGCUCUGCAUAAUUUGAAUUCUUGAUUGCAUUGAAUGUAAAUUUUUGUAACUUUAUCUACAACAUAUGUUCUGGACUACAAGAACAUUGAGAACUCCCUGUUCUUAGUUAAGUUCAGGUUUUUAUAACCUAUCAAUUUCUUUUCCAUUGUAUCAUUA